rnacentral:lncRNA from 1 species
UGCUUUCCUUAUCAACCAACUGAAUUGCCUGCAAGUCAAAGGGUCCAUGCUUACUCUGGCCCUGGUUAGUUGGAAAUGGAGAAACUCAUUCCUCACUGGCGUCCUAUUACAAUUGAACUGCUUCAGAAAGCACAAAUAAAUAGCUUCCAAUUGAUCCACUCUCAGGAGCUUGUGGCAGGUUACCUUUCUACUCUGAAGUCUUCCCUGACUCUAAAUUCCUUGUAUAUCUACCAUCCCCUCAAGCAUACCCUGGUGACUUGAGACAAAGGAACAACCAAAUCAUAUCCUUCCUGUGUCUGUCUCAGGACCAGAUUUCUCCAAGCACAACAUCAAGCUACAGUGCCAGACAGAAUUAAAGC